CCCUCCCGAAAGUACCAGACAUGCAAGGACUGGCACUGGAUUCACUGGUGACGUCAGGUGAACUCCAGGAAGCCCCGAAAAGCAUGCCCAAUAAAAGGCUCCAGAUGGACUUCCAGCAGAAUUCUGUGAAGAAUUCAGGAGAAUUCUGGCACCAACAUUCCUCGGAACACUGCAAAUCAAGGAAAAUGGCCGACUACCACCAACUAUGAAUUCAUAAACUUUCUGUUAAUGUGGCAGCACGAGGUGGAAAUAAAGUAAAUACUCUUCAGUUUUAAAAAGACAACGCCACCCUGGGAAUUUCACCCAGAGAAUACUGGAAGUAACACUAAAUCACCAAAAAGGCACUUAGGUUCGCUAUACUCAGUACAGAGACGAGGUUCAAUGAUAAACAAGUUGACAAUUUAUUAAUAAUUAUUUAAAACACCGUAUAAAAGCACAAUCAUAAAUAUCCAUGUACAAAUAUGCUUAAAAAGGUAUUCAGAGCUGAGGCUUACCAGUGGAGGGGCAGGGAUGCCACAAACAAACUAAAAA